UACGGGGGGGGGCAAGCGUUGUUCGGAAUCACUGGGCGUAAAGGGCGCGUAGGCGGCUUUAUAAGUCGGGGGUGAAAGCCUGUGGCUCAACCACAGAAUUGCCUUCGAUACUGUAGAGCUUGAGACCGGAAGAGGUAAGUGGAACUGCGAGUGUAGAGGUGAAAUUCGUAGAUAUUCGCAAGAACACCAGUGGCGAAGGCGGCUCACUGGCCCGAUACUGACGCUGAGGCACGAAAGCGUGGGGAGCAAACAGG
rnacentral:rRNA from 1 species